rnacentral:rRNA from 1 species
UUAAGCGACUAAGCGUACACGGUGGAUGCCCUGGCAGUCAGAGGCGAUGAAGGACGUGCUAAUCUGCGAAAAGCGUCGGUAAGGUGAUAUGAACCGUUAUAGCCGGCGAUGUCCGAAUGGGGAAACCCAGUGCAAUUCGUUGCACUAUCGUUAACUGAAUACAUAGGUUAACGAGGCGAACCGGGGGAACUGAAACAUCUAAGUACCCCGAGGAAAAGAAAUCAACCGAGAUUCCCCCAGUAGCGGCGAGCGAACGGGGAGCAGCCCAGAGUCUGAAUCAGCUUGUGUGUUAGUGGAACGGUCUGGAAAGUCCGACGGUACAGGGUGAUAGUCCCGUACACCAAAAUGCACAGGCUGUGAACUCGAAGAGUAGGGCGGGACACGUGGUAUCCUGUCUGAAUAUGGGGGGACCAUCCUCCAAGGCUAAAUACUCCUGACUGACCGAUAGUGAACCAGUACCGUGAGGGAAAGGCGAAAAGAACCCCGGCGAGGGGAGUGAAAAAGAACCUGAAACCGUGUACGUACAAGCAGUGGGAGCACCUUCGGGUGUGACUGCGUACCUUUUGUAUAAUGGGUCAGCGACUUAUAUUCUGUAGCAAGGUUAACCGUAUAGGGGAGCCGCAGGGAAACCGAGUCUUAACUGGGCGUUAAGUUGCAGGGUAUAGACCCGAAACCCGGUGAUCUAGCCAUGGGCAGGUUGAAGGUUGGGUAACACUAACUGGAGGACCGAACCGACUAAUGUUGAAAAAUUAGCGGAUGACUUGUGGCUGGGGGUGAAAGGCCAAUCAAACCGGGAGAUAGCUGGUUCUCCCCGAAAGCUAUUUAGGUAGCGCCUCGUGAACUCAUCUUCGGGGGUAGAGCACUGUUUCGGCUAGGGGGUCAUCCCGACUUACCAACCCGAUGCAAACUACGAAUACCGAAGAAUGUUAUCACGGGAGACACACGGCGGGUGCUAACGUCCGUCGUGAAGAGGGAAACAACCCAGACCGCCAGCUAAGGUCCCAAAGUCAUGGUUAAGUGGGAAACGAUGUGGGAAGGCACAGACAGCCAGGAUGUUGGCUUAGAAGCAGCCAUCAUUUAAAGAAAGCGUAAUAGCUCACUGGUCGAGUCGGCCUGCGCGGAAGAUGUAACGGGGCUAAACCAUGCACCGAAGCUGCGGCAGCGACACUAUGUGUUGUUGGGUAGGGGAGCGUUCUGUAAGCCUGCGAAGGUGACCUGUGAGGGUUGCUGGAGGUAUCAGAAGUGCGAAUGCUGACAUAAGUAACGAUAAAGCGGGUGAAAAGCCCGCUCGCCGGAAGACCAAGGGUUCCUGUCCAACGUUAAUCGGGGCAGGGUGAGUCGACCCCUAAGGCGAGGCCGAAAGGCGUAGUCGAUGGGAAACAGGUUAAUAUUCCUGUACUUGGUGUUACUGCGAAGGGGGGACGGAGAAGGCUAUGUUAGCCGGGCGACGGUUGUCCCGGUUUAAGCAUGUAGGCUGGUUAUCCAGGCAAAUCCGGAUAAUCAAGGCUGAGGUGUGAUGACGAGGCACUACGGUGCUGAAGUAACAAAUGCCCUGCUUCCAGGAAAAGCCUCUAAGCAUCAGGUAACAUUAAAUCGUACCCCAAACCGACACAGGUGGUCAGGUAGAGAAUACCAAGGCGCUUGAGAGAACUCGGGUGAAGGAACUAGGCAAAAUGGUGCCGUAACUUCGGGAGAAGGCACGCUGGUGUGUAGGUGAAGUCCCUGCGGAUGGAGCUGAGACCAGUCGAAGAUACCAGCUGGCUGCAACUGUUUAUUAAAAACACAGCACUGUGCAAACACGAAAGUGGACGUAUACGGUGUGACGCCUGCCCGGUGCCGGAAGGUUAAUUGAUGGGGUUAUCCGUAAGGAGAAGCUCUUGAUCGAAGCCCCGGUAAACGGCGGCCGUAACUAUAACGGUCCUAAGGUAGCGAAAUUCCUUGUCGGGUAAGUUCCGACCUGCACGAAUGGCGUAAUGAUGGCCAGGCUGUCUCCACCCGAGACUCAGUGAAAUUGAACUCGCUGUGAAGAUGCAGUGUACCCGCGGCAAGACGGAAAGACCCCGUGAACCUUUACUAUAGCUUGACACUGAACAUUGAGCCUUGAUGUGUAGGAUAGGUGGGAGGCUUUGAAGCGUGGACGCCAGUCUGCGUGGAGCCAACCUUGAAAUACCACCCUUUAAUGUUUGAUGUUCUAACGUUGGCCCCUUACCGGGGUUGCGGACAGUGUCUGGUGGGUAGUUUGACUGGGGCGGUCUCCUCCCAAAGCGUAACGGAGGAGCACGAAGGUUAGCUAAUCCUGGUCGGACAUCAGGAGGUUAGUGCAAUGGCAUAAGCUAGCUUGACUGCGAGCGUGACGGCGCGAGCAGGUGCGAAAGCAGGUCAUAGUGAUCCGGUGGUUCUGAAUGGAAGGGCCAUCGCUCAACGGAUAAAAGGUACUCCGGGGAUAACAGGCUGAUACCGCCCAAGAGUUCAUAUCGACGGCGGUGUUUGGCACCUCGAUGUCGGCUCAUCACAUCCUGGGGCUGAAGUAGGUCCCAAGGGUAUGGCUGUUCGCCAUUUAAAGUGGUACGCGAGCUGGGUUUAGAACGUCGUGAGACAGUUCGGUCCCUAUCUGCCGUGGGCGCUGGAGAAUUGAGGGGGGCUGCUCCUAGUACGAGAGGACCGGAGUGGACGCAUCACUGGUGUUCGGGUUGUCAUGCCAAUGGCACUGCCCGGUAGCUAAAUGCGGAAGAGAUAAGUGCUGAAAGCAUCUAAGCACGAAACUUGCCCCGAGAUGAGUUCUCCCUGAGACUUUAAGUCUCCUGAAGGAACGUUAAAGACGAUGACGUUGAUAGGCCGGGUGUGUAAGCGCAGCGAUGCGUUGAGCUAACCGGUACUAAUGAACCGUGAGGCUUAACCU